UUCAGAUAUUGUUCUGAGAUUCUGACAAAGUGGACCACUUUAAACCAGGUUUAUAAUCUUCUCUAGGAAAAUCAUAAGCAACUCAGCCCAGGUUUUACGGGUUGGUACUACAGAUUUCCACAAGAGAGCAGCAUGUCCUCAGUUUUGAAAAGACAUUGGCGUGUUUUGCUUCCAUUCUCCACUCUAGAUUUCUUUUUUUCCUUUCAUACCAAUGGCUGCUAAACACAAACAUGUUUGGCUUCAUCUGGGAACAGUGAUGUGAACAUAAUACAUUCCUCCUCUAUGCAGGCACAGGUGAGACUCUACUGGACACAUGCUCAUCAUUUGCAAGAACACAGACCUGACCCAGCAUAAAGAAUGUGUUAAAUGACAAUGGGGACAGUGGAGAGCUGUUUGAGAUUAUGUAAUCUCAUUCUACACAAGCUGGCAGAAUUUUUCUCUUUAUUAAGUAUUGUUUACCUUCAGAAAAUUUAUCUUCCUCUCUUAGGAAUGAAGAUGGAAAUUUAACGCAAAGCAUCCUGGUCCUUGCUCAUUAUGAUUCUGUAAAGUCCUGCCAUUUAGGAAAUGUGUCUCAAUUUCUGUGGAGAUGAAGCAGGAAGGUCAGACUGAGCUUUAAUCAAGGUCAGCCGGCAACAUGCUGUCAGAUCAGCCCAGCUGGAAUGAACCCUGGGUGUCAAAGAAUGUUCUGGGAAUUUCCCGGAGCUUUGUGGAUUUCAGACCUGACACUUCACUGGCUCUUACAACAGAGGUUCAAGACUUUGUGUUGGGCCAGUGUUUCUGGACGUGUAACAGAUGUUUAAAGAGAUAUCCACCAAGUGGGCCUUAAGGUAAUGUUUUCUAAAAGAAUUCUAUUGUAUACAAACUAGUUGAGAAAAAAUUUAAUUCUUUAGAUUUGUAACUCACAGGGAUAAGAUAAUUUGAUUUGGGACUUUAAAUGUCUUGGUGUUUAACUUAAGAUUUCUGGAAUUUAAUUUCUUUGUGAUUUUAAUCCUUGAACUUUAGUUUGUCCCUGACAAUUUGGUAACAGUAUAGAUAUUCAGAUGUGGGGUACUUCUAUAUUGGUGGCAUUUUGUUAUUGGAAUAGCUUUCUGUUGUCAUCUAAUCUCACUGCAUAUCCUCUGGUGAGCUCUAGUAGACCACAUGUCUCAAUCUAAUGUGAGAGGAGAAAUAAAGUGACCUCUAAACAAAAUCCUGGAAUUAAUUUAGAUAACAUACCAUUCUCACUAAUUUUUAGAGCCUUCUGUAUCAAAGCCUACACAGCUCACCAGCAGACCCUGAAUGCUCCACAGUAGUGCCUUGUUGGAAUUAAGAGAAUGGUGCCAUGAGGGUAAGAGUACUACCAUAAGUAGGACGUAUACCCACAGGCCUGCAGAGCC
rnacentral:lncRNA from 10 species